UGUGUGUGUUGUGUUGUAUGCUCACCAGAGCAUGCAGAGCACAGGGAGGAGGGGAGGUAUGUUUGUGGAAGGGGGUGAGAGGCAGGAAAGGCACCGGAGGGUGGGAGGCUGUGUGUGUGUCAGUCAUUCUGUGUCUCUCUCAGGGGAAGGCACUGGGGAGUGUGACAAUGUCUGAGAGGGUGUCUGUACAUGUGUGUCCAAGCAUGUGGGGAGGGACACUCAGGAACCUUGAGUAUGGGGGCAGCGGUAGGCAGCUGCAUUGGAAGGUUUGGGCAUGCGUGAGUGCGUGUGUGUGCGCAUGAAGCCGCGAUGCAUGUGAUGCAUUACACACCCAUGUAUGUGCGGGCAUGUGCGUGUGUGUGUCCCUGUGCGUGCACGCAAGACACUAGGAUGGGAGGGGGUCCGCAAUGUCAUAAUGAGAGAGGGGAACGUUUAUCAGCUCAAAUAGUAGAUCCAAACCAAUGUGGCAGGGAAGGGGGAGAAAAGAAAGGGAGUGUGAGGAUACAAUUUUCCCUGGGAAUGAUUUGUUUUUCUGACAGCAUUUCUUUUCCUGGAACAAUAUAUUUGCCUAAAAAUCUUCAUCCUUUACCAUUCAUUAAAACAACUGCAAAAUGGGGAAAGGCCACGGAUCGCUUCACACAGGAGCCAAGAAGGGAGGCAGGAGGAGAGGGGAGGACAGGCAUAGAGGGCCGCGACCACCACUCCCCUCUUGAACAGCGACUCAAGCCACCAGAGCGGGAGCCGGGCCAUACGGGAGCCAGGGAUGGAGAAUGAGUCGUAAAUCGGGCCAAUGGAGGACACAGGCCUCCCUCUUUGGUCAGGUCCCGCGUCCGCCCCACCCCUUCCCGAGGGGUAAGCCCGAAAAUCUGUUCGCUAGAGCCCCCCACCCCCACAUCCUUACCCCGGUGCCCGGCCACUCGCCCUCACGCUCGGCCACUGGCCCCACCGUCACGUCUGAAGAGGUCGAGGAAAUAAAGUCUUUCACUCACCCAGUCGCGACCCCGCACGUUCUCGGGAAGAACAGAUCUCCGGGACCUCCAACCGCCACAACCGCCAGAGCCGCUGCUCCCGGGGCUCCAGCUCCUCCCCCUCCAGACAGCAGUGGGGCAGGCGCGGCUGCGGCGGCGGAAGUGAUUGGCGUCGCGGCGGCCCGCCCCUUGAUGUGGCGGGGCGGCAGCUGCUCUCAACAAAUCAGGGUGGGCC
rnacentral:lncRNA from 1 species